rnacentral:rRNA from 1 species
GUGGGGAAUUUUGGACAAUGGGGGCAACCCUGAUCCAGCCAUGCCGCGUGAGUGAAGAAGGCCUUCGGGUUGUAAAGCUCUUUCAGGUGGAAAGAAAUCUCCCGGGUGAAUACCCUGGGAGGAUGACGGUACCAUCAGAAGAAGCACCGGCUAACUACGUGCCAGCAGCCGCGGUAAUACGUAGGGUGCGAGCGUUAAUCGGAAUUACUGGGCGUAAAGCGUGCGCAGGCGGUUGUGUAAGACAGAUGUGAAAUCCCCGGGCUCAACCUGGGAACUGCGUUUGUGACUGCACAACUAGAGUACGGCAGAGGGAGGUGGAAUUCCGCGUGUAGCAGUGAAAUGCGUAGAGAUGCGGAGGAACACCGAUGGCGAAGGCAGCCUCCUGGGCCAGUACUGACGCUCAUGCACGAAAGCGUGGGGAGCAAACAGGAUUAGAAACCCCGGUAGUCC